GCCCAAGUAGCUCAGUGGUAGAGCACUUCCUUGGUAAGGAAGAGGUCGUGGUUUCGAUCACCAUCUUGGGCUCCA
rnacentral:tRNA from 1 species